UACAGAGGGGGCAAGCGUUGUUCGGAAUUACUGGGCGUAAAGGGCGCGUAGGCGGCCUGCUAAGUCGAACGUGAAAUCCCUGGGCUCAACCCAGGAACUGCGUCCGAUACUGGUUGGCUUGAAUCCGGGAGAGGGAUGUGGAAUUCCAGGUGUAGCGGUGAAAUGCGUAGAUAUCUGGAGGAACACCGGUGGCGAAGGCGACAUCCUGGACCGGUAUUGACGCUGAGGCGCGAAAGCCGGGGGAGCAAACGGG
rnacentral:rRNA from 1 species